rnacentral:tRNA from 1 species
AAGCUCUGUGGUGUUAAGCACGUUGAAUUGCAAGUUCAUAGGAGCAGCUUCAAUCCUGCCGGGGCUUC